rnacentral:rRNA from 1 species
UGGGGAAUCUUGCACAAUGGGGGCAACCCUGAUGCAGCGACGCCGCGUGAGCGAUGAAGCCCUUCGGGGCGUAAAGCUCCUUCGACCGGAACGAUAAUGACGGUACCGGGAGAAGAAGCUGCGGCUAACUACGUGCCAGCAGCCGCGGUAAUACGUAGGCAGCAAGCGUUGUUCGGAUUUACUGGGCGUAAAGGGCGCGUAGGCGGCGCGGUAAGUCACUUGUGAAAUCUCUGAGCUUAACUCAGAACGGCCAAGUGAUACUGCUGUGCUAGAGUGCGGAAGAGGCAACCGGAAUUCUUGGUGUAGCGGUGAAAUGCGUAGAUAUCAAGAGGAACACCUGAGGCGAAGGCGGGUUGCUGGGCCGACACUGACGCUGAUGCGCGAAAGCCAGGGGAGCAAACG